rnacentral:rRNA from 1 species
AGAGUUUGAUCCUGGCUCAGAUUGAACGCUGGCGGCAUGCCUUACACAUGCAAGUCGAACGGCAGCGCGGGGCAACCUGGCGGCGAGUGGCGAACGGGUGAGUAAUAUAUCGGAACGUGCCCUGGAGUGGGGGAUAACGCAGCGAAAGUUGCGCUAAUACCGCAUACGAUCUAAGGAUGAAAGCAGGGGACCGCAAGGCCUUGUGCUCCUGGAGCGGCCGAUAUCUGAUUAGCUAGUUGGUGGGGUAAAGGCCUACCAAGGCAUCGAUCAGUAGCUGGUCUGAGAGGACGACCAGCCACACUGGAACUGAGACACGGUCCAGACUCCUACGGGAGGCAGCAGUGGGGAAUUUUGGACAAUGGGCGAAAGCCUGAUCCAGCAAUGCCGCGUGAGUGAAGAAGGCCUUCGGGUUGUAAAGCUCUUUUGUCAGGGAAGAAAC